rnacentral:rRNA from 1 species
AGCAGUAUUGAACUGAAGAGUUUGAUCAUGGCUCAGAUUGAACGCUGGCGGCAGGCCUAACACAUGCAAGUCGAGCGGAUGAAGGGAGCUUGCUCCUGGAUUCAGCGGCGGACGGGUGAGUAAUGCCUAGGAAUCUGCCUGGUAGUGGGGGAUAACGUCCGGAAACGGGCGCUAAUACCGCAUACGUCCUGAGGGAGAA